UGGAAUAUUGUUAAAAGCGGCGUAAAACCAUAGUCACUCACUCACUCAUCUAUUGCUAAACGCGGCGUAAAACCAUUCUCACUCACUCACUCACUAAUCCAAACGGGAUGGGAUGUACAUAUGUUUCAUAUGGCAGGCUUACUGUAUUUGUACCAUAAAAUGCCAUUCAAAA